GCAGCCGUAGCUCAGUCAGGUAGAGCACCCCGUCGAGGGGGAGACUGGAAUUCCAGGCACGCGGCGCCGUGUGGCACGGGUUCAAAUCCCGUCGGCUGCU
rnacentral:tRNA from 1 species